rnacentral:rRNA from 1 species
UACAGAGGUCUCAAGCGUUUGUUCGGAUUCAUUGGGCGUAAAGGGUGCGUAGGUGGCGCCAUAAGUCAGGUGUGAAAUCUCGGGGCUCAACCCCGAAACUGCACUUGAUACUGUGGUGCUCGAGUACUGGAGAGGAGAUUGGAAUUUACGGUGUAGCAGUGAAAUGCGUAGAUAUCGUAAGGAAGACCAGUGGCGAAGGCGAGUCUCUGGACAGUUACGUGGA